CCACUGUCUCCACCCGAGACUCAGUGAAAUUGAAUUCGCUGUGACGAUGCAGUGUUCCCGCGGCAAGACGGAAAGACCCCGUGAACCUUUACUACAACUUUGCACUGGAUUCUGAAUUUGUUUGUGUAGGAUAGGUGGGAGCCUUUGAAGCGGUCACGCCAGUGAUCGUGGAGGCAACCUUGAAAUACCACCCUGAUAAAUUUGGAAUUCUAACCUAGGCCCGUUAUCCGGGUCAGGGACAUUGUAUGGUGGGUAGUUUGACUGGGGCGGUCUCCUCCCAAAGAGUAACGGAGGAGUGCGAAGGUUGGCUCAGCGCGGUCGGAAAUCGCGCUCUUGAGUGCAUAGGCAUAAGCCAGCUUGACUGCGAGACAAACACGUCGAGCAGGUACGAAAGUAGGUCAUAGUGAUCCGGUGGUUCUGAAUGGAAGGGCCAUCGCUCAACGGAUAAAAGGUACUCCGGGGAUAACAGGCUGAUACCGCCCAAGAGUUCAUAUCGACGGCGGUGUUUGGCACCUCGAUGUCGGCUCAUCACAUCCUGGGGCUGAAGUCGGUCCCAAGGGUAUGGCUGUUCGCCAUUUAAAGUGGUACGCGAGCUGGGUUUAGAACGUCGUGAGACAGUUCGGUCCCUAUCUGGUGUGGGCGUUGGAUGAUUGAUGGGAGCUGCUCCUAGUACGAGAGGACCGGAGUGGACGAACCGCUGGUGUUCGGGUUGUGAUGCCAAUCGCAUUGCCCGGUAGCUACGUUCGGAACGGAUAACCGCUGAAAGCAUCUAAGCGGGAAGCCGGCCCAGAGAUGAGUCAUCCCUGACAGUUUAACUGUCCUGAAGGGUUGUUUUAGACUAAGACGUUGAUAGGCAGGGUGUGGAAGCGUUGUAAGGCGUUAAGCUAACCUGUACUAAUUGCCCGCGAGGCUUAAU
rnacentral:rRNA from 14 species